GACGAACGCUGGCGGCGUGCUUAACACAUGCAAGUCGAACGGACAGGCGCUGCUUUUGUGGGGUGCUCGAGUGGCGAACGGGUGAGUAACACGUGAGUAACCUGCACUUGACUUUGGGAUAACUUCUGGAAACUGGGGCUAUUACCGGAUAGGAGCUCCUGCUGCACGGGGGGGGUUGGAAAGUUUCGGCGGUUCGGGCUGGACUCGCGGCUUCUCAGCUGGUUGGUGGGGUUGUGGCUUACCAAGGCUUUGACGGGUAGCAGGCCUGAGAGGGUGACCGGCCACAGUGGGACUGAGAUACGGCCCAGACUCCUACGGGAGGCAGCAGUGGGGAAUAUUGCACAAUGGGCGGAAGCCUGAUGCAGCAACGCCGCGUGCGGGAUGACGGCCUUCGGGUUGUAAACCGCUUUCGCCUGUGACGAAGCGUGAGUGACGGUAAUGGGUAAAGAAGCACCGGCUAACUACGUG
rnacentral:rRNA from 1 species